UGUUAGACUCCUGAGAAAAACAAUGUUUUUUUGUAUGCUUUCAGUGAAAUCAGUUGAGUAUUCUAGGCUUCAGAAAAUGAAAACAGAAGUUAAGAACUUUAAUAGGAUUGUUUGUUUAAUCCCUCCUCCCUUAAUAAUUCUCACCAGCUUAUUCUGCUAUGAAGAGUUCAAGAAGGGACAAUGGAAAUUACAUUUUAUUUGUGACGUACACACUGUAAUAGCCAUCAUGUAGAAACAGACCGAGCUGCCUUCUACUUGAGAACACUUCUAAGUUGUGUAGUUUCUGGUGAGCUUUUCUUCUUCCCUGUGUUUAGUUGUCUUCUUCUCUUUAUAGCAAUUUAAAAAAUGCGUCAGUCCCGGAACCAGGUGAAAGUUACAUGUAAAGUUCUCUUCCCCUGGACUCCACUCACUCCCAAAACAGUUUUGUUUUUUUCCAAAAGUGCUCAGUGGUGGCGUCGUCACUGCAUCGGAGGGCCUCGGCAGCUUUGCUCUAGGGUCUGUAGGAAGGGUUUUGUUUUUUGGUUUUUUUUUUCUUCUCACUCCCUCCCGCCCCAUCCGGAGACCCCUCCCCCACCACGAGGGAAAUUCCUAAAUAAAGCGAGCCCGGUGGCCCGCGGCUGAGCGGUCAGCAUCCCCUUUCCGGCCCUCAUCUACGGGAGUGUCCGAGGUGAAGAAAUACAGAAACUCGACGACGAAAAGGGGGGCGGGUGGGGGUCACGAGAAGGUGCCGCGCUCGAGGAGGGUCCCAGCACUCCCUCGGAACCACAGAUGUUUUCCUCCUGGCCCUGGGGCGCGGCGCCCCAGCCCCGGGCGUUCCGGCGUUUGUGUGUCCGGGUUUCCGAGGAAGGGAUUACGCAGCGGGAGCAGCCGCGGCAACGCGGGCGUUGGGCCACAGUAGCGGUAAAGCGACGCCUGGCCUUCUUUGUUGACUUUUAGGUCUCGGGCUCAACAGAAGAUUUAUUCGCUAGGAGGGGAAAAUGCCCAAACAAUGAAGAACUAACUGCACUUGUCACCCCGAGAUGCUUGCGGGCCUGCUCUGUCCCUCUUCCCCGGCAACCGGCUGCCUUUGCCCUAAACGGCGCACAACCUAACGCGCGGGGCGCAGAUCACCUCGGCCAGACGUUGCAGAGCGAGCGCAAGUGUGGAGUGGGGCGAUCAAAGUAAAGGCUGUCCAAGUUCAAGCCUUGGCGAGGAUGGAGUUCAUACACAGGGGCUCAGGCAGGCUAGCCUCUGCUUGGGCUGGUGUUGUUAUUGUUGAUGUCAAUCCGAACAAGACUUACAAAGAAAUAGGUGGACUGGAAAGUGAGCCUACUAUCAAAGGAGAUUAAUGAUUUUGUGAUCUCAAGCAACUGUAGGGGUGUGAAGUUGCAUUUAAAAGCUUCUUAGAAGGCUAACAAAUCAGCUUUAAGUUCUCAGGAAUGAUAUUUUUAGAAACCGUAUUUUUAGAAGUAUCUUCACAAAAUACAAAAUAGCAGCUACCCUGAAAUGUCCUGAUGGCACAAAGCUUCCCCUGCAGGAGUGAAUUAACUUGCCUCCCCUUCACCCCCUCCAAAGCAACCAUGAUGGUUGAGUUUUGUUUCUCUUUUAAUGGAAAAAAAAAAAAAAGAGAGAGAGAGAGUUCAGGAUUCUUUGUUGUGGACAACUUAAUUUUAUCAGCCACAUAUGAUAUUUUAUUCUCCUAGAAUACUUCUCAGAUAAAGGAAAAUUAUACAUUGAGGAAGGGGGCACUGUAGUUAUAUUAAUGAAUUUGAUUUCAUUGUGGACAGGCUCAAAGGAAACAUAGAAGGCUUAAGCUCAUCUCAAAAACUGAAGUAAACAUUACCGGGAAUAAACAAUCUUAAAAAUCUCAGUUCUUGGGAUAUCACAUCAAUUUAUCUACCCACUUUUAUUGAAUUACUGUAACUGCUUUUUACUAGCCUCAAGUUCAUGUAAUAAACAUAAACAAAAC